UGUUACUCCUUGAGGCUUUUGGACAAGUAUGUCUAUACAUGGAAAAAAUAUGAAUAGUAGACUCACCUCAAAUAAAUUCCCAGGGGUGCUUCAAAUCUCCAUGAGAGAUGGAGUUUCACUCUUGUUGCCCAGGCUGGAGUGCAAUGGUGUGAUCUCAGCUCACGGCAACUGCUGUCUCCUGGGUUCAAGCGAUUCUCCUGCCUCAGCCUCCCAUGCAGCUGGAAUUACAGGCAUGUGCCA